GUUGUAUAGUCAAGUAAUUAAGUGCAUGUGGUGGAUGCCUUGGCAGUCAGAGGCGAUGAAAGACGUGAUAGCCUGCGAAAAGCUCCGGGGAGGCGGCAAAUAUCCUUUGAUCCGGAGAUGUCUGAAUGGGGGAACCCACCUACUUUAAGGUAGGUAUUGCAACAUGAAUACAUAGUGUUGCAAGGCGAACGAGGGGAAGUGAAACAUCUCAGUACCCUUAGGAAAAGAAAUCAAUUGAGAUUCCCUCAGUAGCGGCGAGCGAACGGGGAUCAGCCCAUUAAGUUAUGUGUGUUUUAGUGGAACGCUCUGGGAAGUGCGAACGUAGAGGGUGAUAUUCCCGUACACGAAAGGGCACACAUAAUGAUGACGAGUAGGGCGAGGCACGUGAAACCUUGUCUGAAUAUGGGGGGACCAUCCUCCAAGGCUAAAUACUCCUGACUGACCGAUAGUGAACCAGUACCGUGAGGGAAAGGCGAAAAGAACCCCUGUGAGGGGAGUGAAAUAGAUCCUGAAACCGCAUGCAUACAAGCAGUGGGAGCACCUUCGUGGUGUGACUGCGUACCUUUUGUAUAAUGGGUCAGCGACUUAUAUUCAGUAGCAAGGUUAACCGUAUAGGGGAGCCGUAGAGAAAUCGAGUCUUAAUAGGGCGUUUAGUUGCUGGGUAUAGACCCGAAACCAGGCGAUCUAUCCAUGAGCAGGUUGAAGGUUGGGUAACACUAACUGGAGGACCGAACCCACUGUCGUUGAAAAGCCAGGGGAUGACUUGUGGAUAGGGGUGAAAGGCUAAUCAAGCCUGGUGAUAGCUGGUUCUCCCCGAAAGCUAUUUAGGUAGCGCCUCGGACGAAUACCAUAGGGGGUAGAGCACUGUUUCGGCUAGGGGGUCAUCCCGACUUACCAAACCGAUGCAAACUCCGAAUACCUAUGAGUACUAUCCGGGAGACAGACUGCGGGUGCUAACGUCCGUAGUCAAGAGGAAAACAAUCCAGACCGCCAGCUAAGGCCCCAAAAUCAUAGUUAAGUGGGAAACGAUGUGGGAAGGCAUAGACAGCUAGGAGGUUGGCUUANNNNNNNNNNNNNNNNNGAAGCAGCCACCCUUUAAAGAAAGCGUAAUAGCUCACUAGUCGAGUCGGCCUGCGCGGAAGAUGUAACGGGGCUAAAACUAUGUGCCGAAGCUGCGGAUGUAUACUUUGUAUACGUGGUAGGGGAGCGUUCUGUAAGCCGAUGAAGGUGUGUUGAGAAGCNNNNNNNNAUGCUGGAGGUAUCAGAAGUGCGAAUGCUGACGUGAGUAACGACAAAACGGGUGAAAAACCCGUUCGCCGAAAGACCAAGGGUUCCAGUCCAACGUUAAUCGGGGCUGGGUGAGUCGACCCCUAAGGCGAGGCCGAAAGGCGUAGUCGAUGGGAAAAUGGUUAAUAUUCCAUUACUUCUGUGUAAUGCGAUGAGAGGACGGAGAAGGCUAAAUCAGCCUGGCGUUGGUUGUCCAGGUGAAAGGAUGUAGGCAUGUAUCUUAGGCAAAUCCGGGGUACUCUAUGCUGAGAUCUGAUAGCAAGCUGUACUUGUACAGCGAAGUGGUUGAUGCCAUGCUUCCAGGAAAAGUCUCUAAGCUUCAGUUACACAGGAAUCGUACCCGAAACCGACACAGGUGGUCAGGUCGAGUAGACCAAGGCGCUUGAGAGAACUCUGCUGAAGGAACUAGGCAAAAUGGUACCGUAACUUCGGGAGAAGGUACGCUGUUGUUGGUGAUGGAACUCGCUUCCUGAGCUGACGACAGCCGCAGAAACCAGGCCGCUGCAACUGUUUAUUAAAAACAUAGCACUCUGCAAACACGAAAGUGGACGUAUAGGGUGUGAUGCCUGCCCGGUGCUGGAAGGUUAAUUGAUGGGGUUAGCGUAAGCGAAGCUCUUGAUCGAAGCCCCAGUAAACGGCGGCCGUAACUAUAACGGUCCUAAGGUAGCGAAAUUCCUUGUCGGGUAAGUUCCGACCUGCACGAAUGGCAUAAUGAUGGCGGCGCUGUCUCCAGCAGAGGCUCAGUGAAAUCGAAAUCGCUGUGAAGAUGCAGUGUACCCGCGGCUAGACGGAAAGACCCCGUGAACCUUUACUGCAGCUUGACACUGAACUUUGACCUUACUUGUGUAGGAUAGGUGGGAGGCUUUGAAGCUGGAACGCUAGUUCCAGUGGAGCCGUCCUUGAAAUACCACCCUGGUAAUGUUGAGGUUCUAACUCUGUCCCGUGAUCCGGGACGAGGACCGUGUCUGGUGGGUAGUUUGACUGGGGCGGUCUCCUCCUAAAGAGUAACGGAGGAGUACGAAGGUGCGCUCAGCGUGGUCGGAAAUCACGCGUAGAGUAUAAAGGCAAAAGCGCGCUUAACUGCGAGACCCACAAGUCGAGCAGGUACGAAAGUAGGUCUUAGUGAUCCGGUGGUUCUGUAUGGAAGGGCCAUCGCUCAACGGAUAAAAGGUACUCUGGGGAUAACAGGCUGAUACCGCCCAAGAGUUCAUAUCGACGGCGGUGUUUGGCACCUCGAUGUCGGCUCAUCUCAUCCUGGGGCUGAAGCAGGUCCCAAGGGUAUGGCUGUUCGCCAUUUAAAGAGGUACGCGAGCUGGGUUUAGAACGUCGUGAGACAGUUCGGUCCCUAUCUACCGUGGGCGCUGGAAAUUUGAGAGGAUCUGCUCCUAGUACGAGAGGACCAGAGUGGACGAACCUCUGGUGUACCGGUUGUGACGCCAGUCGCAUCGCCGGGUAGCUAUGUUCGGAAGGGAUAACCGCUGAAAGCAUCUAAGCGGGAAGCCUACCUCAAGAUAAGAUUUCCCUAGGACUUUAUGUCCUCUAAAGAGCCGUUCGAGACUAGGACGUUGAUAGGUUGGAUGUGGAAGCAUAGUGAUAUGUGAAGCUGACCAAUACUAAUUGCUCGUGAGGCUUGACUAUACAACACCCAAGCAGUUG
rnacentral:rRNA from 1 species